rnacentral:rRNA from 1 species
UCAAGAACCAUCCGCAAUGCACGAAAGUGUGACGGUGCGACGCCGCGUGGUUGAUGAAGCACUUCGGUGCGUAAAGGCCUUUUAUGAGGGAAGAAAUUUUGACGGUACCUCAUGAAUAAGAGGCUGCUAAUCUCGUGCCAGCAGCAGCGGUAAUACGAGAGCCUCAAGCGUUAUCCGGAAUUAUUGGGCGUAAAGGGUGUGUAGGUGGACAUGUUAGUCCUGUGUGAAAGCCUGUUGCUCAACAACAGAUCCGCAUGGGAAACGGCAUGACUGCGAGGGUGCGAGGGGUGAAUGGAACUCAUGGUGUAGGGGUGAAAUCCGUUGAUAUCAUGGGGAACGCCAAAAGCGAAGGCAAUUCACUGGCGCAUACCUGACACUGAAACACGAAAGCCAGGGUAGCGAAUGGGAUUAGAUACCCCCGUAGUCCCUGAGCGGGCUGGCAAGGCGCAU